UAGAUACCCUGGUAGUCCACGCCGUAAACGAUGAGUGCUAAGUGUUAGGGGGUUUCCGCCCCUUAGUGCUGCAGCUAACGCAUUAAGCACUCCGCCUGGGGAGUACGACCGCAAGGUUGAAGCUCAAAGGAAUUGACAGGGACCCGCACAAGCGGUGGAGCAUGUGGUUUAAUUCGAAGCAACGCGAAGAACCUUACCAAAUCUUGACAUCCUCUGAUCCCUCUAGAGAUAGAGUUUUCCCCUUCGGGGG
rnacentral:rRNA from 1 species